rnacentral:rRNA from 1 species
UACGGAGGGGGCAAGCGUUGUCCGGAUUUACUGGGCGUAAAGGGCGUGCAGGCGGUUUGUUAAGUCUGGCGUGAAAGCUCUCGGCUAAACCGGGAGAGGUCGUUGGAUACUGGCAAACUAGGGGAUGGUAGAGGCGUGUGGAAUUCCUGGUGUAGCGGUGGAAUGCGCAGAUAUCAGGAGGAACACCGAUGGCGAAGGCAGAUCUCUGGGCCGUAACUGACGCUGAGGAGCGAAAGCAUGGGGAGCGAACAGG